rnacentral:lncRNA from 1 species
GGCUCAAGAUAUUGUUUAAUGAUUAUUUGAACAAGUUUGGAGUUGAAAGUGAGGGAAUUUGUGUCUGAAGGCAGAGGUAAGGCCAUUCAUAGAACAGCUUCCAGCUCAUUUAAAAAAAUACUUCAUGCUUUUAGUUUUCCCCUUGUUAGCCUACCUACAUAAUAUCCUUCAUCAAAUCUGAGAUGUCAUCAUCAGCAUCACUACACUAUCUUUUUGAUCCCACUAAAAGGCAAAAAUAUUGCUGAAUAAAUCAUGACAAACAAAAGCUACGUGCAGAUUAUCAAUUCCUCAGGGACACAAUUUUUAUGUGUUAUACCUUACCUACAACUUUUGUUUCCUAUCGGGGGAAUUUAAGAUAAGACUGUAAGAACAUUAUUUAAAGGGAUUUAUUGAAAUAGCCAGCUUAUAUUACUUCACAUUGUUUAGUGGUAAGAAUUAUAAUAAAACAUUUGCCUUUUA